CUUCCCGACACUACAGCCUUCCGUUAAAUCCGGAUUCUGAGUCCCGGCCUGAGAGAUUGUAACAGGCCGGGAAUGGAAAACAGGUGGAUCUGGGUUUUCAGACAGCGUGAUUCUGGCCGACUGACGAAUUUGGUUAUCCUGUGGGGGGAGCAAUCUUCCGGGUCUCUGGCAGGGGCAGAGUUCUUGCGGGUCAAGGGAUCCCAGAAGUCGCUUUUCUUUGGCGCAAUCCCCGCAGCGACUUCCGGCGUCUCCCGGGCAACCAAGACCGGCCCCGCCCACCCGCCGGGAGCCCCGCCCACCGCCGCCGCGGUUUCUAUGGCGACCCCGGCGCGCGGCGUUCGGAUUCCUUAGGUGGUGAGAGAAACCAGGCGUCUGCCCUGGCGUGCCUCGCCCGACCUUGGAAGCGAGAUUUCUCGUCCAGAACAGAGUCUUUGCGGACUCACCAGUAAUGGGUGCCAAAUUACUAAAACUAUUGAAGCUUUAGUGAAAAAGUAUGGAAACAGAUUAAUGAUUUUUCAUCUCUGCGGCUGCAAAAUCACUUUUGACCUAAGUCACAUAAAAGAAGUUUACAAAGAAGUCAAAAUAUUUCAUGACGUUUCUGAUAUUGCCUGCUAUCGUCUUGUGAAAACAGAAUUUCUAUCAACAAAGACUUUGAAAAUUACUUAGUUAAGUGAACCCCAGAUUUUUUACAAUUAAAGUCGGAAACUUUUUUAGCUUAGUUGAAAAUAGAUAAUCAUGAAAUAAUUGCAUGUGAAAAUAACACAUCUUUAUAUGUUAAACACUUCCCUUAUCCCUCCAACCUUCAAUUCAGGAUGGAGCAAAAAAGCACAGAUUUUUAAGUAUUGGUAUUUUCUUGCUUGUUUGCAUCAUCCAUUUGUAAUAUAUUUAAUUUCUUAUCUGAGAUUAUUAAUGUACAUACUGCAAUUUAUUUUCAGACACUGAGAGAACAGUAUCAUGAAAGAAGGACAAGCCACUUAAUUCUAGAAGGAUUAUCUACUCUUUUAUAUCCCAUAAAUAUUUGGUUGUAUAAACAGUGGCAUUAUAUGCAUAACGUCAAUGCCCAAUGCAGUGCUGAUAUCUGCAGUACUUAUGCCAAGGCAUUGAGAUGGUUUUUAGAUAACCAAUAUAGCACAUAAAUCCUUUCUCAAACUGCAGACGCCACAGCACACUUAGACUACAGUAUCUCCAGAGAAUAUUUCAUGCCAAGGAAGCAGUUAUGCAUUGCCUUAGCUUGUGAGAAUUCAUAUGCAUGUGGAAGAUUACGGAAGAAAAGGCAGAACUGGGGAGAGGAGGAUAAGCCACAGUGCAACACUGGCAACAAGUACCACCACCCAGGGAGGAGGAUUGACUGUCUCAGUUCUACUGAAGAUUUUAUAAGUCAAGUUCUUCUACAUAGAGCGCAAGGAAGUAUCUGUUGUACUAUACAAUGUGCAAGGACUAAUUCCACAGAGGAUACUGUCGCUCCCCCUCUUCGUGGAGGAACGACACAGGACCCUGCCUAGGCUUCAUAUCCGAGUCACGGCACCAUUAUGUCGCUCCCCCUCUUCGUGGAGGAGCGACACUAGACCCUGCCUAGGUUUCCUAUCCAAGUCACGGCACCAUUAUGUCGCUCCCCCUCUUCGUGGAGGAACGACAUAGGACCCUGCGCUGUUCUUUCUGUCUGCUCGGCCCUCCCCGGGUUUGCUGCUGGUUCUUCCCGGGUUGGCUACUAUCCCUUCCACCUCCGUG